AUCCUGGUGGGGAUAGGCCGCGGUGGCCCCUUUCUCCAUAUCUUCUGCUUUGCUUGAUCUCUAAUUCAAUUUGGGGGGCGUACUGAAGCCACUCUGAUGUCUCCUAUACUGGUUUCCCUCUGUCAGGGUCAUUGGAGCUACUGCUAGUCUCCAGUACCCAGCAGGACUGUGGGGAGGGGGAACGGACCAGGUGAAGCUUAAAGCUUUGAUUUGGUGGGAAAGGCCCCUGCAGCUCAUCUGAGGGGUCACCCAGUCACCCUGAGCCCUGAACCUGGCCUUCAAGAAAUGUGUUGGAAGCUCUUAACUUACACAUCCCUCCUGUCUUUACCCCGCAUAUCCUCCAGCUACCCCACGCCUGUUUCCUUUGAUUUCUCAGGUGUGUUCCCUUCCCCGCCCCACCUCCCCAAAUCCACAGCUUUGGGAAGAGGUCUGCAAAAGCUGCUUUUGCAAGCUGUCCUCCUAAACCUUCCCAGCCAUCCCCCUCAUUUUGGUACCCUGAUUCCUAGAUUCUUCAUAAGCCAAGCCACCUUGCCUCUGUGGGUUUAAUUUUUGUUGGUUUGUUUUUUAUUAAAUUUUGGCUUCUCUCUUUUUUAAAAAAAAACAAUCACAUCAGUGACCUAUUUAAUUGGGGCUUUGUGCAUUUCCACCUUCCCCUCCGAAUGGAAGCCAAGGGACGGGGAAGAAUGGGAACUCUACCUAGGAGGUGGGAUGGGAAAGGUAGGUCCCCUUCCCAGAGGAAGGCAGACCAUCUGCUUUGCCUUAGCCAUGGUGCUGUGGGGGGGAGGGGGUGGCUAGGGAGGGACACUCCCCACUCCUACUCCCCUUUGUCCGGAUCCUGGAAUUAGGUACAGGGGUCCAUAAGGUUCUAUUUCUUCCCAAGAGCCCCUGCAAAGAACCGCAUUACCCUGAGUGCCCCUGCGCUGUUGUGUUUUAGCGGAAUGUGUUUUCAUUUAAAAACAACUUUGAAUGGGGCACUUUUUUUUUCCUGUUUUAAAGUUUGAAAAAUUCUUACAGUUCAAACAGGGCUGUCAGGUGGUGGGGGAGUUAGUGCUGUGAGAGGUGACUCGGUGCAUUUUGGCACUGGGAUGGGACGGCUGGGGUGGGAGGACCCUCACUCCCACCCCACCUCCCGGUUUUUUUCUAAUAUUUAAGAAGUGUUUUUGUAGGUUUCAACAACAACUGCAACUUGAAUUUGCAUCAUGGGAGGUGGGAGGGAAUGGCUUAGAGGUGUCUGCCUAAGCUGAAGGCCAACUGUGGAAGUUUUGUUUUCCCUUUUUUUGUACAAUAAAGUAAAAAACAAAGAUUUG
rnacentral:lncRNA from 1 species